UCGAGGAUCUUCGGCAAUGGGCGCAAGCCUGACCGAGCGACGCCGCGUGAAGGAUGAAGGCCUUCGGGUUGUAAACUUCUGUCGAGGGGGAUCAAGGGCAACUUGAGUGAUCCCUGGAGGAAGCACGGGCUAAGUUCGUGCCAGCAGCCGCGGUAAGACGAACCGUGCGAACGUUGUUCGGAAUCACUGGGCAUAAAGGGCGCGUAGGCGGCUUAUCAAGUCAGGGGUGAAAUCCGGCAGCUCAACUGUCGAAGUGCCUUUGAUACUGAUGAGCUCGAGGGAGGUAGGGGUAUGUGGAACUUCCGGUGGAGCGGUGAAAUGCGUUGAUAUCGGAAGGAACGCCGGUGGCGAAAGCGACGUACUGGACCUCUUCUGACGCUGAGGCGCGAAAGCUAGGGGAGCAAACGGGAUUAGAUACCCCCGUAGUCC
rnacentral:rRNA from 1 species